rnacentral:rRNA from 1 species
UAAGGAAUAUUGGUCAAUGGACGCAAGUCUGAACCAGCCAUGCCGCGUGAAGGAUUAAGGUCCUCUGGAUUGUAAACUUCUUUUUAUCUGGGACGAAAAAAGGCGAUUCUUCGUCACUUGACGGUACCAGAUGAAUAAGCACCGGCUAACUCCGUGCCAGCAGCCGCGGUAAUACGGAGGGUGCAAGCGUUAUCCGGAUUCACUGGGUUUAAAGGGUGCGUAGGCGGGCAGGUAAGUCAGUGGUGAAAUCCUGGAGCUUAACUCCAGAACUGCCAUUGAUACUAUCUGUCUUGAAUAUUGUGGAGGUAAGCGGAAUAUGUCAUGUAGCGGUGAAAUGCUUAGAUAUGACAUAGAACACCUAUUGCGAAGGCAGCUUACUACGCAUAUAUUGACGCUGAGGCACGAAAGCGUGGGGAUCAAACAGGAUUAGACACCCUGGUAGUCCACGCCCUAAACGAUGGAUACUCGACAUACGCGAUACACUGUGUGUGUCUGAGCGAAAGCAUUAAGUAUCCCCACCUGGGGAAGUACGACCGCAAGGUUGAAACUCAAAUGAAUUGACGGGGUCAUAGCUGUUUCCUG